AGAGUUUGAUCCUGGCUCAGGACGAACGCUGGCGGCGUGCCUAACACAUGCAAGUCGAGCGGCGCUCAGCCGUAUGGCAACAUCGGGGACGGUGCAGCGGCGAACGGGUGAGUAACACGUGAGGAACCUGCCCCGAAGACUGGGAUAACUCUCCGAAAGGGGUGCUAAUACCGGAUGUCCCCUUCUGACCGCAUGGUUGGUUGAGGAAAUGCUUUUGUGCUUCGGGAGGGUCUCGCGGCCUAUCAGCUUGUUGGUGAGGUAAUGGCUCACCAAGGCGUCGACGGGUAGCUAGUCUGAGAGGACGAUUAGCCACACUGGGACUGAGACACGGCCCAGACUCCUACGGGAGGCAGCAGUGGGGAAUCUUGCGCAAUGGGCGGAAGCCUGACGCAGCAACGCCGCGUGGGGGAAGAAGGCUUUCGGGUUGUAAACCCCUUUCAGCAGGGACGAUUAUGACGGUACCUGCAGAAGAAGGACCGGCCAACUACGUGCCAGCAGCCGCGGUAAUACGUAGGGUCCGAGCGUUGUCCGGAUUUAUUGGGCGUAAAGAGCUCGUAGGUGGCUUCGUAAGUCGGGUGUGAAAACCCCAGGCUCAACCUGGGGGACGCCACUCGAUACUGCGGUGGCUUGAGUCUGGGUAGGGGAUCACGGGAAUUCCCUGGGUGUAGCGGGUGAAAUGCGCAGAUAUCAGGAGGAACACCAGUGGCGAAGGCGGUGAUCUGGGCCAGUACUGACACUGAGGAGCGAAAGCGUGGGGAGCGAACAGGAUUAGAUACCCUGGUAGUCCACGCCGUAAACGUUGGGCACUAGGUGUGGGGACCUAUCGACGGUUUCCGUGCCGCAGCUAACGCAUUAAGUGCCCCGCCUGGGGAGUACGGCCGCAAGGCUAAACUCAAGGAAUUGACGGGGGCCCGCACAGCAGCGG
rnacentral:rRNA from 1 species